UAGGGAAUCUUCCACAAUGGGCGAAAGCCUGAUGGAGCAACGCCGCGUGUGUGAUGAAGGGUUUCGGCUCGUAAACACUGUUGUAAGAGAAGAAUGACAUUGAGAGUAACUGUUCAAUGUGUGACGGUAUCUUACCNGAAAGGAACGGCUAAAUACGUGCCAG
rnacentral:rRNA from 1 species